UUUUAUGGUUUUAAAUUCCAUGAGGUGAACCAACGCCUGUGAAUCAUUUCGAUAGAGUCCUUGAAGUGGAUACCUUGGUAUGCAGGGUUGUCAAAUUAUGCAAAUGAAUGCAACAUUAAAAUAAUACUCCAAAUUGACAACAACACUUCAAAUGGUCUGCAAUUUUAUUUGCUAUGGUCUACAUGUUUCGCCUGCAAGGCAGGCUUCAUCAGGACCAUUUUUAUACAGAAAUUAAUCCCUGAAGUACUCAAAGUGGUGCAAAUUUGACGUUGUCAUGGUGAGAGAAACAAUGAAAAGUGAAAGUAGCAAUACAGAGUUAUAAAUAGAUAAGAUAAAUAUAGAAAAUUAAAAGUUUGUUUACAAUGUAACUUGAGUUCGUUUUACUAUUAUAUGAUACAUGAAAUUGUUCUUAAGGCUUGGUAUCUAAUUGGACGAACUUCCCAUGGUUCCUACCACUUCGCAAGGCUUCUCUUCC
rnacentral:lncRNA from 1 species